GUUCAAACUACAUCUAGCGGUCGCAACAUCUCCAACAUCAGAUCUAAUCUAAACAGUCGAUAGCUGACUAAACGGCCAGGGGCCAUCUUCUUCCUUUGCCCCGGCCGGACACUGCGCCGUGGCAAGCUAGCCCACGAUGGUACCCAUGGUCGUGGUUUUCGAUCCGGCGCCCCGAGGCUCCAAUCCCUAAUUUACUCUACUCUAUACGUAGAGAAGGUGAAGUAGAAAACCUUGGAUGACUUCUUACCUCAGACCGAGCGCCAGGAAGGAUUGCCCAUGCGACGAGGUGGUCCUGCAGCGGUGUUGGAUCUCCGGUGAGAAAUCCGACCAGCAGCCGAAGUCCCCGAACCCCAAAACCACCUCCAACACAAUUCAUGGAGCAAGGCGAAUCAAGAUGUAGACCUCAUCCCUGGGUUCGCGACGUCGAGCAAGCAGGCCACGCAGCCCUGCGGCUAGGCGGCGAUGUUGUUUCCCACCGGGCAAUCCAGGCUACCCAUGGAUCCCAUCCUUCCGUGUGAAGUCACGACUAGCUCACCCACGACCGAGAGAAGCGCCCGAGCAACACGCCGAGGCCCAGGAGAUGUCAAAUCGCCUGCACGCCGGCGGCGGCCCAGCGCCUAUUUCUUUGGUUUUCCGCCUCGAGUUGAUGUUGGGGGGCCGAUGGGAAACCGGGAGGACCGGCCGAGUAGCCCAGACUGGGAGCUAGCGACCACGCGAUUUUUAUAGAGGGGUCGACAGAGUCCGAGGUGAGAAACAGCCGGCGAGAUCCACGCGAGCUUUGGUUUGGUUCUGUUACGGCGACUUCGACCGAGAACACAGGAAGCGAUGAAGCCGACCGGACGGUCCCACAGCGCCGUGACUGCCACUCCACAAGCGAGCGAGGUGACCCCGUCCAGGGGAGGUUGCAACUGCCCAACAGCGGCGCGCGGCGAACCAGAGUCCGA
rnacentral:lncRNA from 7 species